CGGAAACUUCUAAUGGAUUUCCACUGCCCCUCGCUCGGGCAGCAGUAAAGUUGAGAUCUUAUUUCAAGCAAUGGCAGAGAAUGUUCCCAAGCCAAUGUUUGAGGUGACUCCAGCUAAACUACCAACUGUUUCCUGAGUGACUACUACAUGCCAAGAACACUGAGGAUAUGGAUCCAAAAAAAUAUUGCUGCAAUUUAUGUCAGAGAGUGUUCUGUCUAUGUUUUCCUCUAGGAGUUUUAUGGUAGUUGUCCAGUUUUCCCAGCACCACUUAUUGAAGAGACUGUCUUUUCUCCAUUGCAUAUUCUUGCCUCCUUUGCUGUAGAUUAAUUGACUAUAAGUGUGUGGGUUUAUUUGUAGGCUCUCUAUCUUGUUCCAUUGAUCUAUGUGUCUGCUUUUGUGCCAGUACCAUACUCUUUUGAUUACUAUAGUAUUGUAGUAUAGUCUGAAGUCAGGGAGCAUGAUUCCUCCAGUUCCACUCUCCUUUCUCAAGAUUAUUUUGGUUUUUCGGGGUCUUUUAUGUUUCCAUAUAAAUUUAAAAUUUUUUUGUUCUAGUUCUGUGAAAAAUGCCAUUGGUAAUUUUAUAGGGAUUGCAUUGAAUCUGUAGAUUGCCUUGGGUACUGUGGUCAUUUUAACAAUAUUGAUUGUAACCCAAGAAUAUGGUAUAUCAUUUCUUAAAUAGCAAGAAGAAUGAACAUCAUAAAAAUGUUAAUUCUCAGCAAACACACCAACAGACUUUCUGUGGUUAGAGAAGCUGAUUAUAGGAUUCAAAUGGAAAAAUUAACAACAAAGAAUAUAGAGAAUCAGCCCUACCAGAUAUCAAACUAUAUUCUAAAGCUUCAACAAUGAAAAUAGUGAGUAAUUAGCUCAUAAACAGACAAACCAAUGGAACAAUAUAGAAAGUCCGAGAAUAGACCAAAAUACAUAUAGAAAUUUAAUAUAUUCUAAAGGUGUGAGAGUAAAGAUAAACUUUAUAAUUAAUGGUUUGGGGAUAAUUGGGUAAUCAUUUGAAAAAGGAGUUUUAUCUAUACCUCACAUCUUUCGCUGGGAUAAACUAAAAAUAGAUCAAAGAUCUAAAGCUCAAAAAUUGUAGACAUUAAAGUACUAGGAAAAAAAUGGGCAAAUUUCUUUGUAACCUUGAGGUGGUGAAGGACUUUCUAAUUGACUCAAAAUCCAAAAACCUAAAAAGAAAGAUUGAUCAAUUUAACCGUAUUUUUUAAAAACCCGUAAAUAAAGUUUCAAUAUAAAUGGCAACCUGGGAGGAUAUAUAUGCCACUCAUAUUAUAGUUAAAGGACUAAUUUUCUUAAUACAUGAAUAGCUUCUAGGAAUUCAUAAGAACAAGACCAAAAGUCUUUUGAAAAUUGAAGAAAAAUGAGCAAAGAUGUAAAGAGGCAGUUCACACACACAUAAAAAGACAUGAAGAUGACCUCUAAAAACACAAAAAUAUUCUCAAUCUAUUCAUGAUGUGAGUAGUACAAAUUAAAACUACUCUGAAAUAUCUUUUUUUUAGCCUAUCAAAUUGGGGAAAAUUCUAGAAGUUUGACAAUGAGAUGGUAAACAGGCACUCUCAUUGCUGGUUGGGAUGUAGAUUAGUACAAUCCCUAUGUAGCUUAACAAUUUUUCUGUUGUUUUUUUCCUUUUAGGUUAACAAUUCUUAUCGAAAUUUUAAAAUGCAUUUUUCCCUUUGAUCAAUAAUUUCACUUCUGGGUAUUUACUUUGUAUAUAUACCUGCAUGUGUACAGAAUG